rnacentral:rRNA from 1 species
UAUUGGGCGUAAAGAGCUCGUAGGCGGUUUGUCGCGUCUGCCGUGAAAGUCCGGGGCUCAACUCCGGAUCUGCGGUGGGUACGGGCAGACUAGAGUGAUGUAGGGGAGACUGGAAUUCCUGGUGUAGCGGUGAAAUGCGCAGAUAUCAGGAGGAACACCGAUGGCGAAGGCAGGUCUCUGGGCAUUAACUGACGCUGAGGAGCGAAAGCAUGGGGAGCGAACAGGAUUAGAUACCCUGGUAGUCCAUGCCGUAAACGUUGGGCACUAGGUGUGGGGGACAUUCCACGUUUUCCGCGCCGUAGCUAACGCAUUAAGUGCCCCGCCUGGGGAGUACGGCCGCAAGGCUAAAACUCAAAGGAAUUGACGGGGGCCCGCACAAGCGGCGGAGCAUGCGGAUUAAUUCGAUGCAACGCGAAGAACCUUACCAAGGCUUGACAUGGGCCGGACCGGGCUGGAAACAGUCCUUCCCCUUUGGGGCCGGUUCACAGGUGGUGCAUGGUUGUCGUCAGCUCGUGUCGUGAGAUGUUGGGUUAAGUCCCGCAACGAGCGCAACCCUCGUUCCAUGUUGCCAGCGCGUAAUGGCGGGGACUCAUGGGAGACUGCCGGGGUCAACUCGGAGGAAGGUGGGACGACGUCAAAUCAUCAUGCCCCUUAUGUCUUGGGCUUCACGCAUGCUACAAUGGCCGGUACAAAGGGUUGCGAUACUGUGAGGUGGAGCUAAUCCCAAAAAGCCGGUCUCAGUUCGGAUUGGGGUCUGCAACUCGACCCCAUGAAGUCGGAGUCGCUAGUAAUCGCAGAUCAGCAACGCUGCGGUGAAUACGUUCCCGGGCCUUGUACACACCGCCCGUCAAGUCACGAAAGUUGGUAACACCCGAAGCCGGUGGCCUAACCCCUUGUGGGA